UACGGAGGAUGCAAGCGUUAUCCGGAAUGAUUGGGCGUAAAGCGUCCGCAGGUGGCUGUGUAAGUCUGCUGUUAAAUAGUGAGGCUCAACCUCAUAAAGGCAGUGGAAACUACACGGCUAGAGUGCGUUCGGGGCAGAGGGAAUUCCUGGUGUAGCGGUGAAAUGCGUAGAGCUCGGGAAGAACAUCGGUGGCGAAAGCGCUCUGCUGGACUGCAACUGACACUCAGGGACGAAAGCUAGGGGAGCGAAUGGG
rnacentral:rRNA from 1 species